rnacentral:rRNA from 1 species
UACGGAGGGUGCGAGCGUUGUCCGGAAUCAUUGGGCGUAAAGGGCGCGUAGGUGGCCCGGUCAGUCUUUGGUGAAAGCGCGGGGCUCAACCCUGCGUCGGCCAGGGAUACUGCCGCGGCUCGAGCACUGUAGAGGCAGGCGGAAUUCCGGGUGUAGCGGUGGAAUGCGUAGAUAUCGGGAGGAACACCUGUGGCGAAAGCGGCUCUCUGGACCACAACUGACGCUGAGGCGCGAAAGCUAGGGGAGCAAACAGG